AUUGAACGCUGGCGGCAGGCCUAACACAUGCAAGUCGAGCGGAUGAGGGAAGCUUGCUUCCCGAUUUAGCAGCGGACGGGUGAGUAAUGCCUAGGAAUCUGCCUAUUAGUGGGGGAUAACGUUCCGAAAGGAACGCUAAUACCGCAUACGUCCUACGGGAGAAAGUGGGGGAUCUUCGGACCUCACGCUAAUAGAUGAGCCUAGGUCGGAUUAGCUAGUUGGUGAGGUAACGGCUCACCAAGGCGACGAUCCGUAGCUGGUCUGAGAGGAUGAUCAGCCACACUGGAACUGAGACACGGUCCAGACUCCUACGGGAGGCAGCAGUGGGGAAUAUUGGACAAUGGGCGAAAGCCUGAUCCAGCCAUGCCGCGUGUGUGAAGAAGGUCUUCGGAUUGUAAAGCACUUUAAGUUGGGAGGAAGAGUUGUAAGCUAAUAUCUUGCAGCUUUGACGUUACCAACAGAAUAAGCACCGGCUAACUCUGUGCCAGCAGCCGCGGUAAUAC
rnacentral:rRNA from 1 species